CGUGCGUCAGAUCAGCCCUGUCAACAUCACAAGAAAGACAACUUGGGUACAUUUGAAAGAACUUACUGAAAUUGACUUUUGACGGUGACUUUUAAAAGGUGAAAAGAGGACAGGAGAUACAAAAGAGAAAAAAAAACCAGAAGUGGGACUGAAGAAGAGAGGAAGAUUGAAGAAAAAAGAAGACUCUAAACGUCUGAAGACACUUGACAAAGGCCUGCAGGAGACCAGCUAUGGAGGAGGAUUACAAGAGACCACCACCAUCCUAUGACGAAGUUAUAACCGAGCAGCACACGAGCAACACUAGUCAGAGCCGCUCCGCUGAUAACAGGCAGGGCUGCUGCUGCAAAUGUUGCAUUAGCACCAAGAACUGUCUGAUGAGUCCGGAGUGCGGUCGAGCUCUUAACAUCGCCAGCGUGGUUGCCAUGUGUGGCAUGUGUAUUCGAAUGUUUGUCUAACACAGUCUCCUGUGGACCAUUUAUUCCAGAUCUUUCAUCCAGUGGUGGCCUUCUCAAAUUAAAAAGGAAACAAAGACAUUUGCUCUGUUCCAAAACCUAGUGAUCUGCAACAUUUACAAGCUUUCCCCCAAUACGAAUCCCAAUGCUGUUCCAACUAGGAUGCAGCACUGCAUUUAUCCUUAACAGAUAAGGUAAUCCCAGAACGAACUGACUAAAAUUUCCAUUUCGAAUAGGAAACGUCAAUUGUGAAGUAUAACUUAUAAAUACAAAGUAAUUCUGUACUGACAAAUAUCAUUGAAAAACACUGCCAUGUCAUACAAUCUAGUCUCCCAUGUGAUUCAUGGGCCUCAUUCAUGAAAAAGUAGCACAAUAAAUUCAUAAAUCGUUUGUAAAAUCAUUCCUAUAUUCAGUGUGGCAUUUAAUUAAAUCGGCAUGAGUGACCACUUAAGGUGCGGUCACAUUUAUCAUUGUUAGAUGAAAUAGACAAGUAAUUUCAAUAGGGAUCCAAGUUAUAAGGAAUUUUCCAACAGAAAGAUGUUUGGUUUGAAAAUGAAUUCUGUAUGAGCUAACAACAUGCAAUGACAAUGGGCCUUUUUUUGUCUGCAAAAUGUUGCUAAUGUGACUGUACCUUCCCAGUAUGUAAUUCCAUUUUGAAAGACAGUAGUGUUAAACAGUUGUACUAAUAUUUUCUCUCUAAUCCAAGUCCUUUGUUUAUGUAGAGCUUUAUACAAUAUACUUUGCACAAUACUAAACAGGAAAGAAACAGAAUCAGUGAUGCAAACUUAAAAAAUAA